UCAAAUCUGAAGCAAGUCUGGCACAGGAAAAAUAAUGUAGGGAUAAAAAAAAAGUCAUGAGAGGCAUGAAAUUGCAUGAUUUGCAUGUACAGCGUAUCAAAAAUGAAUCUAUUUAUACAUAUCUUCUUUUCUACAUAUUUGUCCAUGAUCGGAAUUUGGCGGUUGGAUUGCAGGGUGUAUGAUGUCAGUGAGGAGUCGGAGUAGCGAGCACGAUGCAUUUGGUUGAUGCUUUGACCACGAGCCUGGACGUUUGUUGCGCGAAGCUAUCCACCGUGUGUUGGGGGGGUUGACUCAGUUUUCACUGCAAGACUUGGGCCCUCUGGUGCAAAGAAAAAAGACAAAAACAAAUUACACGGUCAGUGUCUAGGUGAGAAAGACAUCAUUGACUGAUGGACAAGGUAAAACCAAGUUGCAGUAAUAAGGAUAGUAGUGAAAAUUCAAAAAAAAAAUAAGGAUAGUAGUGGCAGAUGUAUAAAAGAAUUAGUAGUAAAAGCAGGUAUCAGGUGUGGAUGAUUAAGUUAUAACUAAGCAAGCAGGCAUCCAUCGGUAUGAACGGGACUGAUGAUUGCAUCGCAUGUAAUAGUAUGUAUAUGUGUGUAUGCAUCAUGCAUGAGCACCGAGUAGUCGUGCGCCCCUCUCCUUGGCGCCUCCCCAGUAUUGACGCACCUCUUCGAUUCCACUCCAGUUGGCUGAUUGGAUGGAACCAUUCAAAUACAGCCAUGGCCGUGGACGCGCUUCCUCAUUACUACCUUUCUCCCCAUUCCAUCGCCAUUGCCGCACCACAACAGAUGAGGGGGGAAAGGUAACCUUCCUUUGCUCUUGCUCUACAUUCCCAAUUCGCCUUCCUGAUUGCAUGCACCCUCUAUGUAAUCUACUGAUUCAUCGUUUUCCUUUCCUUACAAAGCAAAAUACACUUGCCAUUUAUUCUCCCCCUUUUCCUGGAGGAAAAAAAAAGAGGGAAACAACCUGCAUGCAUCCAUUUGAAUUUCGUUUUUGCGUCACCCAGGCUGCGUUUAUUGGUUGUUAUGAUCUGCCGAUUACGAUUUGAUUUCCUGUAUGCUGUGCUUUCCAAAUAUGUCUUGGCAAAAAUAAAUCUACAGCGAGACUAAUGUCAAUGUUUUCCUUUGUUUCGGCAUAUUAUUCAUCCUGCAGAUCAGCCACAAGAUAACAGCAUAAUAACAACAUCACGAGGAAGAAGAGAGUCAGAGUGAAGAGCACGUACAGAGGAGGCCAUGGGGUCCAAGGGAAUCCUCAAGAACAGCGGCUCCAGCCGCAUGCCGCCG
rnacentral:lncRNA from 1 species